ACUUCAGGGGUUUGGCCAUCAGAUUUUUAAAAAUGCAUAUCCAGCUACCUCACAAAGGAAUCUAUCAUGCUGGUCCAAAAGUAAUCCCACUGAAUUCCCUGAAACCUGCCUGAAAUAAGUUCAGCGGGGGAAAGGAAAAUAUGGGAAAUAAUACCAUACCAAAAGUUAGACUGCCAAAGAGAAGAAUGCAUAGGGCAUUUCCAAGGCAUGGGAUCCCUGCCUUAGCAAGGAAAUUUCAACAGAAGUCUCUAUAAACAAAUCUUCACCUAUGUUUCCUUGUAGAGAACUUCCACAACUUUGACCAAGUCUUCUUCAGAUGGAAAGUUUCGAAUAUUCACAAAUUCAAGUUAUAAUAAAGCUGACCUAAAUGGCUAAAAAUUGAAUAAAGUCAAAUGGGCAAUCUAAAAA